rnacentral:rRNA from 1 species
CAGUCGCCACGGGAAUACGAAGGGGGCUAGCGUUGCUCGGAAUUACUGGGCGUAAAGGGAGCGUAGGCGGACAUUUAAGUCAGGGGUGAAAUCCCAGAGCUCAACUCUGGAACUGCCUUUGAUACUGGGUGUCUUGAGUGUGAUAGAGGUAUGUGGAACUCCGAGUGUAGAGGUGAAAUUCGUAGAUAUUCGGAAGAACACCAGUGGCGAAGGCGACAUACUGGAUCAUUACUGACGCUGAGGCUCGAAAGCGUGGGGAGCAAACAGGAUUAGAUACCCCUGUAGUCCCUGUCUCUUAUAU